AUUGAACGCUGGCGGCAGGCCUAACACAUGCAAGUCGAGCGGAUGAAGGGAGCUUGCUCCUGGAUUCAGCGGCGGACGGGUGAGUAAUGCCUAGGAAUCUGCCUGGUAGUGGGGGAUAACGUCCGGAAACGGGCGCUAAUACCGCAUACGUCCUGAGGGAGAAAGUGUGGGAUCUUCGGACCUCACGCUAUCAGAUGAGCCUAGGUCGGAUUAGCUAGUUGGUGGGGUAAAGGCCUACCAAGGCGACGAUCCGUAACUGGUCUGAGAGGAUGAUCAGUCACACUGGAACUGAGACACGGUCCAGACUCCUACGGGAGGCAGCAGUGGGGAAUAUUGGACAAUGGGCGAAAGCCUGAUCCAGCCAUGCCGCGUGUGUGAAGAAGGUCUUCGGAUUGUAAAGCACUUUAAGUUGGGAGGAAGGGCAGUAAGUUAAUACCUUGCUGUUUUGACGUUACCAACAGAAUAAGCACCGGCUAACUUCGUG
rnacentral:rRNA from 1 species